ensembl:misc_RNA 7SK 7SK RNA
GGAUGUGAGGGUGACCUGGCUGCGACAUCUGUCACCCCAUUGAUCGCCAGAGUUGAUUCGGCUGAUCUAACUGGCCAGGCGGGUGUCCCCUUCCUCCCUCAAGGAUCCAUAUGCAUCCCUCCCGAAGCUGCGCUAGAGGACGACCACCCCGAUGGAGGAGGAUUGUUCCUCAGUCAGAGUACUGCACCCCCCCGCUAGAACCUCCAAACAAGCUCUCAAGAAGUUCCACUAGGUCCUGCUUUGUAUUGCACUGUGUCCUCCAAUGUGUACUCUGAAGCCUACAGUAAGGCUGCAUCUUAGGAUAGGGUCUGUAGGCAAUG